rnacentral:rRNA from 1 species
AACGAACGCUGGCGGCAUGCCUAACACAUGCAAGUCGAACGAGACCUUCGGGUCUAGUGGCGCACGGGUGCGUAACGCGUGGGAAUCUGCCCUUGGGUUCGGAAUAACAGCGAGAAAUUGCUGCUAAAUACCGGAUGAUGACGUAAGUCCAAAGAUUUAUCGCCCAAGGAUGAGCCCGCGUAGGAUUAGCUAGUUGGUGAGGUAAAGGCUCACCAAGGCGACGAUCCUUAGCUGGUCUGAGAGGAUGAUCAGCCACACUGGGACUGAGACACGGUCCAGACUCCUACGGGAGCAGCAGUGGGAAUA